rnacentral:rRNA from 1 species
UACGUAGGGUGCAAGCGUUAAUCGGAAUUACUGGGCGUAAAGCGUGCGCAGGCGGUUUUGCAAUUCAGAGGUGAAAUCCCCGGGCUUAACCUGGGAAUGGCCUUUGUGACUGCACGGCUAGAGUGUGUCAGAGGGGGGUAGAAUUCCACGUGUAGCAGUGAAAUGCGUAGAGAUGUGGAGGAACACCGAUGGCGAAGGCAGCCCCCUGGGUCAAGACUGACGCUCAUGCACGAAAGCGUGGGGAGCAAACAGG